CAGCAGCCGCGGUAAUACGUAGGGUGCGAGCGUUAAUCGGAAUUACUGGGCGUAAAGCGUGCGCAGGCGGUUGUGUAAGACAGGUGUGAAAUCCCCGGGCUUAACCUGGGAACUGCGCUUGUGACUGCACAGCUAGAGUAUGGCAGAGGGGGGUGGAAUUCCACGUGUAGCAGUGAAAUGCGUAGAGAUGUGGAGGAACACCGAUGGCGAAGGCAGCCCCCUGGGCCAAUACUGACGCUCAUGCACGAAAGCGUGGGGAGCAAACAGGAUUAGAUACCCGGGUAGUCCCUGUCUCUUAUAC
rnacentral:rRNA from 1 species